GCGAGACCCGGCAUAUAUAUACAUUAACUUUCCUUUGCGCCGCUGGCAGUAAAACGAAAGUUGAACAACUAAUUAAUUAGUCUCUGCCCUAAUUUCUUGAGAAGAGCAGCCCGCCCCUAAUUUCUUUCUCUGUUAUCUUUUGCAAAACAAAUAAUUGGUUGAGAUUUCAUCGGAGAAAUUGGAGUUUAUUUCUACAGCUCUUCUUCGGAUUGGAACAAAUAAUUGAAAAAAGUAUUCAUUUGACAACCAUCCUUUAGUCACCCAUGAAGAGAAACAUCUGAUAUUAUUUGCAAACAUGAACUUUGUUGUUGUCGGUUUCAUUCUCCAUUAACAUAUUCACAUUGAGCACUGACUGUGAAGGCAUUUCCUCCAUGUUACCCGUAUUAUUAGUUUUUUCUUCUUCUUAUGUUUUAUGAUUUAUUGUGAUUUUUAAGGAAUCUUUUGGAUUUGUUGGAAGCUAAUACUAUUCUAUUUUUGUUCUACUGCUUAAA